rnacentral:tRNA from 1 species
GCUGAUAUGGCUCAGUUGGUAGAGCGCACCCUUGGUAAGGGUGAGGUCCCCAG